GGCUGUUGGAGCAACAGCAGGCACUGCAGAGUCUCUAAUAAAUAACCCGCAUUGAUCUCUCAUUUUGUGAUUUAUCUUGGUUUAUUUGCUCUUCGAGCUUUGAUUCACGGCUCCAUGGGGAGAUUUUGGAAAAUCAUUUACCCAUCAGCUGAGGCACACUGACUGUAGCCCAUAAAAGGUCAAGGGGGAACAGACCCAAGAUGGGAAUCUCAGCCGCUGAUCUUUCCAGGGCGAUAACCAGAUUCUGCACACGGUGACCACAGGGAGGAAACAUGGAUAAGUUGUUGCUGUGUCUCCUGGUCAUCGUUAACCUCACUGGUGCUUUUUUCCAAGGAGACACAUACAGAAAGGCCUUUGUGUUCCCCAGAGAAUCAGAUACAUCCUUUGUGACCCUGUUUGCUCCGGUGCAGAAGCCGCUGAAAGCUUUCGCCAUGUGCCUACAAGCCUACACCGCCUCGUCCCGCCCUUAGAGCCUCUUCUCUUACGCCACCAGGGCGCAGCACAAUGAGAUCCUUCUCUUCAGGGAAAAGCUUGGCUUAUACAGCGUACCUGUGGGUGGAUCUGACAUCUACUUCAGGGUUCCUGAGACCUUUUACAAACCAAGGCACUUCUGUGUUACCUGGGAGUCCAGCACGGGGAUUACAGAGCUCUGGGUGGAUGGGAAGCCCAUGAAUGUGCAGGAGAGGAAACGAGGUUGUCCCCUCAGAGCUCUAAAUGCCACAAGGAGAGAAAGCCGCUCCUUCAUUGAGAGGUGCCAAAUGCUUGUGGUGUGGCGGGCACUCGCUUCAGAUGCGUGGGACAAGCAGGAAAGCCACAGAAACAAGAGUGACGGAACCACACACACAGAUGCGGUCUCAGUCACCUGGGACUUCGAUUACAGCAAAUUUACACGUGUGAUAUGUUUCCACAAGGAGCUGGCAUGUGCUCUUUCUCCAGAUCCUCACAUGGCCGGUUCCAUAUCAUUUGUUUUCUUGAUCUGUUCUUAGUUUCUAAGCAGCUAUCACUACUUGAAAAAAAUUAGUGGUGCGGGUUUCAAUAUUGUUUCCUCUCCCACUAGACUGCAAAUUCCACGAGAGCAGGGACAUUAUUGCCUAUUGUAUUCCCAGUUUCUAUGAUGACUCAUAGUAUGUUCUCAAUAAAUAUUUGAUGAAUUAAUUAAUUCUAGAGAAGGCAGCAGUAGGGAAGAAAUGGUCCGGAUGCAGCUGAGGAUGGAGAGAUGCAUAAAGAGUGGGAUGUUGUGAGCCCAUAAUUUUGCUCAUGGGAUGGUCUGCUGUGCGUGACUGUAAACUUGCUCCUUACACAAGGGAAGGAGUGGCUGGAGUCCGCACUGGAUUCUGCAUGAUGCUUCUGGGAGUAAAGCAGGUAGGGAAAUGGAAAUUAAAAAAAAAAUAUUAAGAAGGGAUGCCUGGGUGGCUAAGUCGGUUAAGCAUCAGCAUUUGGCUCAGGUCAUGAUCCCAGGGUCCUGGGCUGGAGUCCCACGUUGAGCUCCUUGCUCAGCAGGGAGUCUGCUUCUCCCUCUACCCCUCCCCCUGAUUGUGCUCUUUCUGUCUCUGACAAAUAUAUAAAUAAAAUCUUAAAAAAUAUUAAGAAUAAAUGUUGGAGUAGGCAGUUAGUUAGGGUCUAACAGGAGACCUGGAGGUCUGCAACAAGGAAGCCAUGGCCAACUAUUGGGAAGGUCCUGGCAGCCGUCCACAAGAAUCCGGAUCAAACCAGACAGGCCCAAGAUGGCGGAUGCCAUGACAGGAAACCCCUGACCAAACAAGGAAGAAAAAACUCGAAACCCUGCUUCCUGCCCCAAGUAAUAAAUAUUCUGCCCCCUAGUUAACAACUGUCAAUAAAAGAUAGAAACCCACCCCGCCAGGGCACACUGCACUCUCUCUCUCUCAAGCUUGGCCGUUCUCCUCUCUCGAGAGUAUACGUUUACCUUUAAUAAACUUUCCUGCUUAUGUAACUUGUCCACUGUGCUGUGUGUCUGUUCUUGAAUUC
rnacentral:lncRNA from 1 species